CAGGUUCUUCCUUUGGAUUGCCACUGAAUAUGCAGACAUAAAAACCUGUGGUCAGCAUUCACUUGAAAGCAUCUUAAACUUGUCAUCUAAAUUUAUUGAUCAAAUGAUUGUUUUUAUAAACAAGAUAUUUAUGUGCUCAUAGUAUAAUGUUCUAGUCUCCAUUUCCAGCUGUUAAAGUCACCGCCGCACCCAAGGUCAAGUUCAAAACAUGAAGAAAAAGACUGUUUCUGUAAAGAAAACAAAAAUACUUGUACAUAUUUCACAUGAAGCUCAAAAUUAGAAUAUUCACAUGAAGCUCAGAACUAGAAUAUCUUACAAUUCUUGUGUCAAAGGAGUAAAUGUAUUUUGAAAUCCUAUCAAACCUCAGAUCUCCCACGCAUAAAAAAAUAGAAAUUCUUACAAUAUCAAACAAUUUCAACAGAGCAUUAGCGCACAAAGAAAAUAGUUACUGUGAAGUGCAAAAAAAUAUUUAUCAUAACUCAGAUUCUGCUAACAUACUC
rnacentral:misc_RNA from 1 species